rnacentral:sRNA from 1 species
UGCUUCUUUCUUGAUGCUGAUUGAGGU